rnacentral:sRNA from 1 species
GACGCCUCGCUCAAUUUCUCACAGGGCUGCGCAGGUUUCCCCCUUCUGCGAAUGGACCACUGGAGGGGUUCAAAGGUUCGCGUCCCAGUACGGGAAUGAGCCUCUUUGAUCUCUUCCGGGGCUUUUUCGGCUUUCCUGGACCUCGGAGCCACAGAGAUCCCUUUUUUGGAGGGAUGACUCGAGAUGAAGAUGAUGAUGAGGAAGAAGAGGAAGAAGGGGGCUCAUGGGGCCGUGGGAACCCAAGGUUCCAUAGUCCUCAGCACCCCCCUGAGGAAUUUGGCUUCGGCUUCAGCUUCAGCCCAGGAGGAGGGAUACGUUUCCACGAUAACUUCGGCUUUGAUGACCUAGUACGAGAUUUCGAUAGCAUCUUCAGCGAUAUGGGGGCCUGGACCUUGCCUUCCCAUCCUCCUGGUGUGUGGCUUCCCCUAAGGGGCAACCUGUGGUUUCUGGUGGGUUGGUGGGUGAAAUAAAGAGCCUGCAGGGAGUAGCUGGGGGAUGGGAAGUGUGAGAAGACUGAUGAUUUCAGGGAGAUUAAUAGAGCCCAAGUCCUUUCCCAUCCCAGCAAACACCUGCCACCUUUCUGCAGAACUUCCAGGUCCUGAGUCAGAGACACCUGGUGAGAGACUACGGGAGGGACAGACACUUCGGGACUCAAUGCUUAAGUAUCCAGAUAGUCACCAGCCCAGGAUCUUUGGGGGGGUCUUGGAGAGUGAUGCAAGAAGUGAAUCCCCCCAACCAGCACCAGACUGGGGCUCCCAGAGGCCAUUUCAUAGGUUUGAUGAUGUAUGGCCUAUGGACCCCCAUCCUAGAACCAGAGAGGACAAUGAUCUUGAUUCCCAGGUUUCCCAGGAGGGUCUUGGCCCGGUUCUACAGCCCCAGCCCAAAUCCUAUUUCAAGAGCAUCUCUGUGACCAAGAUCACUAAACCAGAUGGGAUAGUGGAGGAGCGCCGGACUGUGGUGGACAGUGAGGGCCGGACAGAGACUACAGUAACCCGACACGAAGCAGAUAGCAGUCCUAGGGGUGAUCCAGAAUCACCAAGACCUCCAGCCCUGGAUGAUGCCUUUUCCAUCCUGGACUUAUUCCUAGGACGUUGGUUCCGGUCCCGGUAGCCUUGUUAACCCUCAGAGGCCUUCAAGUCCUUUCCACCUCUCACCCAUUGCCCACCAUUAAUAAGCUUAGCUUCUCCUCUUGCCACCUCAGGGGCUUGGAUAUGUGGAAUAGUGAACUGGGGGCAUGUCAGUUUGUCACUCACCCAAACUGACCAAUAAAACCUUUAUUUAUGCUAA